AUCAUGAUAAAGAUCCAUGAGUUCACAAUUUCAUACAGAUAACUUUCAAUGGCUGGUGUCAAGCAAAGGAACAAGUUUAUAAUAAUACAAAGUACGCAUUUUGAGGGGGUUGGGGAAGCUGGAUCAGCACACCUUGUAACAGGUAUCCUUCCCGUUAUUUUUUCACUAAAGGAGAAUGAAUGCCAUAAAUACUGUUUCUAAUUUCCCCCCUUUAUUCCAAUGAACUGAAUCCGAAUUCAUGGGGUUGAAUUCUAUGAUGGCUGCAAAUGACACCAUCAGGGCAUGUAUCUAAACUGUCAACUACUUUAAAAAUCAAAAUGAGUUGAGUUAGAACAGAGGAUGUACACUGAGCUCAUUUUGUACAAUUACAUUUACAGCACUGUAUUGAGAGGGAGAAACACCAAGAACCUAAAUUGCUACCUGACUAACCCAAUUCAUUUGCAAUUUCAAGAUGGGUUCUUCACAAUCUUAACAUUGCUGUAGAAACGCUUCAGGUCCUUUAUAGCCUUCUCCUCGAUUUGAAUUGAACGAAUCGAUGAUGGUGUGUCAACUUCUGGUUUGAACCAGCGGUUUAUUCCACUGGAAUCUGAUGGAGAGCCUUGACCAGAAGUAAUUGAAAAGCCAGCUGUUCUCACCUUUGGACUAUUUGAUAGUACUUGUUGUUUUCCUUUCUGCGAGAUAAGAAAAACAAACAGCAGUGUCAGAUUUCUGCUAGAAUAAAUUAAGAAUUGACUUCAACUUUGAACUAAUCCAAAAAAACAGAGAGAUCAAAAGCUGGCCUACCUGCUGCAUCUGAAUGUCCCUGAGAGAUGGCCGAGAAGGGGGAGGAGUGCCAGACGCAGACCAGGGAGGAGUGUUUCUUUCUCCAUCAGUAGCUUGAAAGGCUUGACUCGGGACGACAGGUAUUGGCUUGGAAGACAAAAAUGAAGCAAAUCGAAUUUUCCCUUCAGUUUUACAGUCCAAGAGAUCAGCCUGAUCUUUGCUCUCACUCAUCUGCUUCCCUAUGGUUUUCCGCUGCUCAUCCUGAAUUUCACGCAAUGUUGUAGACCCCUUGGCAACUUUAGCCCCACCCCAGGCUGGACCUUCCAUUUUAGGCGGUGGUGGGGGUGGGGGUGCAGCUACAUCUUUGGUCAUAUCAUCAAGAGCGCCACUCAAGAACAUCGACAGCCCACCCUUCCUAUUCUUCUUCUUCUUCACAGCUGUUGUAUAUGAAUUUUUAUCCUUUGACAAGUCUGCAUUUUUCACCAAGCUUGAAUUGCUUUUCAUCGAAAUACAAGUGGAUGGCUCAAGGGUAUUAGUAUUGUUAGCUGUUUCUUCAAAGAUGGUGUUGUCUUCCUGUUGGAUAUAAUCAAUCAAUUUUAAAUCAAUGAAAGAAAAAAACGAAAAUUGCAAUCGAGGGUGAAGAUAAUGCAGUAAUCUAGUUGAAACUAAAAUGUGAAAAAGGUCAGAUUGGAGCACCCUAAGAGCCAGGUACAAAACAAUGGAAGACCACAGUCAUUACUGAAAAUUAGGGCAACGUAGUUUCCAAUCAAAUGACCGUUUUGGGUGCUAGGACUACAUUUUGUUUUUGAUGAAACAAAAACACCUAUAAUACUCGAGAAAAAUAACAUAUUCGAGUCAAGUAAUUAUUUCAAAAACUUCAUUUUCGUUUUUUGGCCUAUUUAACAAGAGUUGAAGUUAUUUUUACCUCAACCUAAAUAAUAGCAUCACAACUCUUCAAAAUAGUUCAACAAAACAUCAAAAACUUGUUAUCGAAGGGGCUUAGCUCCUAACUUCAGAGAUUAAAGCCCCCAAAUAAUGAAACAAACAAAUAAAAUUUCAGCCUAACCUUAUUCUUGACGACUGAAAGCAUUUCAACAUUACAGGACCCUUCUAUAUGAUCUGGUUCUACAGCAGAUUUGGUAAAACCAGCUGAAGUUUCCAAGGGUUCUAGUUUGCAUUUGUUCCUCCUCCUAUGUUUUUUUGAUGCCACAGUGUUUUUAUUUCCUUUGUCUUCUGGAGCCAUUAAAGAUAGUUUUUCCAGCAGGUUAACCACUGGAACACCAAGAUCCAGAAGUGAACUUUCAAGGGCAGACUUGGUUUGGAGCUUUGCAAUUUGUUGUUCAUCAAGGAGAUAUCCACAAGACUGUUUUGAUUCAAGCAUCUCAAUUUGCUGCAACUUCUUCCGCAAGGCACGAAUUUGUUUGGAAAUGGCUUCAUUUUGAUUACCUUCGUGGAAAAAAGAAUCUGAACUUCGUUCCAUUUCUUUUGUCAUGUUACUCAUCAAAUGAUUCUCUCGGGACCUUAAAAUCUCAUUCUCACUAUCCUCCUCUUCACUGUUAAUAAUGACAGGCAAAGUAGCAGUCACAGUUGGGAGUCGACGAUAGCUCCAUGGCUCAGAUGACUUUAGGUCUAACAACUUCUCGAGCUUAGCCAUAACAUCUGGAGAAGCAUUCGCAAUAGCUUGUGAUGCCACUGUAAAAAUGUAGUCAAGGUUCCGGAUAGCUAUGUCCUGGAAACAAUUAGCAAAUUAAAAAUUAGUUGCAAAAUAUCCUAUAAGUUUAUUGCAUUAGGCCAAAUUUGACAAUUUAAGAAGAAAAAAAGAAACGGAACAGCCGUAUUAAAAUUAAAGUUGAAUAAGAA
rnacentral:lncRNA from 1 species